GGGGAAUUGUUCGCAAUGGGCGCAAGCCUGACGACGCAACGCCGCGUGAAGGAUGAAGCUUCUCGGAGUGUAAACUUCAUAAGAGUAGGACGAAUAAGGAAGGGAUAAUACCCCUUUCGAUGACGGUACUAUUUGUAAGCUCCAGCUAACUCCGUGCCAGCAGCCGCGGUAAUACGGGGGGAGCAAGCGUUGUUCGGAUUUACUGGGCGUAAAGGGCGCGUAGGCGGCGCAACAAGUCACUUGUGAAAUCUCCGGGCUUAACCCGGAGCGGCCAAGUGAUACUGUCGUGCUAGAGUGCGGAAGGGGCUACUGGAAUUCUCGGUGUAGCGGUGAAAUGCGUAGAUAUCGAGAGGAACACCUGCGGCGAAGGCGGGUAGCUGGGCCGACACUGACGCUGAGGCGCGAAAGCUAGGGGAGCGAA
rnacentral:rRNA from 1 species